UACGUAGGGUGCGAGCGUUAAUCGGAAUUACUGGGCGUAAAGCGUGCGCAGGCGGUUAUUUAAGUCAGGUGUGAAAGCCCUGGGCUUAACCUAGGAAUUGCGCUUGAGACUGGAUAGCUUGGAGUGCGGCAGAGGGAGGUGGAAUUCCACGUGUAGCAGUGAAAUGCAUAGAGAUGUGGAGGAACACCGAUGGCGAAGGCAGCCUCCUGGGCCAGCACUGACGCUCAUGCACGAAAGCGUGGGGAGCAAACAGG
rnacentral:rRNA from 1 species